rnacentral:misc_RNA from 1 species
UAUUUUAACAUAAACCUCUAUUCAUUAGUGUAUACUGAAUAUUAAAUACAUUUACACAUGAUAACAUGAUGAGUUUGUUACCCUAUCUUAUUACAGGUUGUUACAUGAAGAUUGGUUACAUGUCUAUAUCCCUUAUCAUGCCCCCUCAAUGGUCGAAUUUUCAACUUGUCCUAUAAGAGUUCAUGUCGAGUUUGUGACACUGCUUUAGUAAGCUAUUUGGCAACCUAUUUGGCAACCUUAUUGCAAAGUGAAAAUCAACCUCCAUAUGCUUUGCGCGAUCAAAGCCAAAAUUGUAGCCAUGUGAGCCCAAAUGUUGCCGCCCCUUCUAUUCCAACAUAUGAAAGAUUCACCAUCUUUAAUUGGGUUAUUUUUACACUUGAGAAUCAAACAAAUGAUUGAAAAAGACCAAGUAACUCAAAAUUAUCACCCCUAAAGUUUUGCUAACUCAAUAAGAUAAUCCAGUCCUGUUAUUCUAAAUUAUAGUCCAACCUAUCAAACCUAGACGUUCUAGCUUUUAAGAGGUUGAAAACUGAGAGUUCAAUUCCUAAAAAUUAAGAAGAAAAUGAGGUACGCUCCAAGCCAGAUCCUUGGUGCAACAUAAGUAUGCUCCAUGAGGCACAAACCCUGCCUAUACAACACUUUUGACGUUCAAGUUUCACUCACUAGCUUUAUCUCCUUCGGUAUUCCUCUUCAUCCACUGGAGUAUACCCCUCUGGCUGUCGCUUUGAGUUGCUCAACCUGUAGUUCACCAGCACUUCUUCAUCACAAAGUGUCCUAGUAGCAACCAAGACAAGAGUCUUCAGAACAGGAACAUCGGCCCCACUUUUUUUUGACCUAGAUCUAAACCAAAAGCUGCCAAAUCUUCUCAUAUUCACUUCUUCAGAGUUGCCAAAUGGUGUAUUUGGUAUAUAGGUUCUCAUGUCCUUCUCAGUCAAUGGGAAGUCAUAAGGGCAUAUCAUAACAUUUGGAGCCAUACCUUUUGCUGGGUGAUUGGCAAAAUGAGCCAAAGCUAAUGGGUUCCUCCGCUCUAUGACCUCACUAGUACCACCAACUAGUAUCCCUUCUAAAGGCUUAUUAAGCAUUUUCCAGAACCGAUCCGAACCUUUCUCUCGACUUUGCACGUUAGGCCUGAUUUCUGGUACAAGUAAUCCAUUCCACACUUCACGGGCUUCACCUCCAGAACCCCAGGGCUGGGCAUUGAUUACAGUACCAUCAUACCUUGCCGUCAAGUAUGUGUUAUGGGCAUCAACUCUUGGGUAUCCAGGGAUAUAGCGAUAAUAAGCUGGGGUGUAUAUUACGCCAGGGUACAAGGCAAUCACAGUGCCAACAUCAGCUUCACCAUCUACAAAUAAGCCUUGUCCAGCUCCUUUGUGGGGUAUCCGAGAUGGUUUUAGACUAAGUGUGUAGCCAAUGAGAUCUUUCAACCUCCAUGAAACUUCAGCACUCUUCAAUGGCCUUGUCUCAGGUAUAGCUGUGCUGGAGAAACAGUAGGCGGACCACUCUUUCCAACAGCCCAACUAAGGCCACUUUUACGAGCAGUAUCUGACUGUCCAAGUGCUUCACCUGGCUCAUUUUUCUUAUUCAUAUCAGGAAGAAGAAUUUCAUCCAUAGCUGUGCAGAAAUUUUCAAUUUGAGAAUGGAUGUUUUCUUGGACUAGCUUCUGCUGAUCAGCAACAGAAGCUUUACUAGCCAUUUCAAUGAUCUCUUCUGCAUCUGCCUCUUCAACUUUCCUCCCCAAACGAUUGUAGCUAAAGAAUUUACAAUUUCAAGAAAAACGAGUUACUUGGAAACAUUUAGGUGACAAAGUCGGCAUCUGGUUAUCACAAAACCACAUGACAUUUGGAGGGAACUGAUAAUAUUAUAAAAGAAAGAAAUGGUAAUAGAAUAAUAAAAUCUUUGAUUUCAUCUUGUUGAAAAAAAAAAUUGUACUAACAUGAAAUUUGAGUGUAAUAUAAAAAUUACAAGAUAAAGCAGCCUUUUCAAUAUUUUUGGAUUUUGGUGUUAAUAUGAAUUUAAGUACAAUGUGAUAUUACUACUUGAUUGAAAAAAGGAGAGAAAAAACUGAAAGAAUUUAAGGAAACAACAUUUACAUUUAUUAGGGGUCAUCAUAAUCUUCAAAUAAUGUCUCUGGUUUUUGAUAAUGCUCUAGUUCCCAUAUUGCUGAUCAUUUUCCUCCCUUCCUCAAGAAUACCAAUUAUGUAGGACUAAUCGUGUAACCACAAUUAUUAAAGGCUCAAGGCAAACCAAGGCACCAAAGGGUUCUGAAGCAUAGGUGUAGGUGCGCCUGGUAUAUAGGAAAAGGCGAUU